GUAAUAUACUGAAAACUAGUUUCGGUCAUCUUUGUGUAUACUGUAGUUCUCACUUAUCAGACAAUCUAUGCCCCUAGUCCGUAGAUUCAUGUGAGGGGUAAUAAACUAGUUUAAGCAUUUAUGGACUUGAUUGAUGAUCGGUAAGAUAGUAGCUUAUUGCUUGAGCCAAAUAUGGAAUAUAUGAGAUGAUAAUGAGAAGUAUUUUUACUCAAUUGCAACAUAUAAGAAUCGUGAUAUGCCUCUUGAUAUAAUUUAAUUUUUAUAUUUUGCAGUGAUUCAUGAAGCAGAGGGUCCAACUCCAUAUUCUCAAUAUGAACAUUCGUCUAUUCCUGCCACAGUAAAGAAGCUUUUCAAUUUGAAAUCCAAUUUCUUGACAAAAAGAGAUGCAUGGGCUGGUACCUUUGAAAAAUACUUUUACAUUCGAGAUACUCCUCGUGAUGAUUGUCCAGAAACUCUUCCGGAGAUAAAGACACUAAGGUCACAUGGACCAAGAGAAGACUCGAGACUUUCAGAAUUCCAAAUGGAAUUGAUUCAGCUUGCAUCUCAGCUCAAUGGUGAUUAUGUACUCAACUCAUAUCCAAACAUUGGUAAGACCAUGACAGUGAAAGAAGCAAACAGGUAUGCAGAAGAUGCAGUGAGGAGGUUCCUGGAAGCUGCAAAGGCUGCUCUUAAAGCUGGGGCUAAUGAUUCAGCCAUUGU